ACAUUUUCUCGCAUGCCUGGACACGACAGAACCGUUUGGUAGGACACAGACAUGAGUGUGACAGCUUGAAAUCCCCAGUCCAUGGAAGAAGCAAUCAAUUUUCAUCUUCCUCAUUGAUGAGCUCCUCUGCAGUAUGAGGUUAUAUAGGCCGUUUGUGUGGAAAGCCUUCAUUUCUGGCUGCCAUGUUGAAGAACCUUGGGAAGACUUGACUUCUUUCAUGCUCAUCAGUUCCAAAAACCUGACCUCCUUAGAGGAUGUCGUGGGGCACCUGAUUCUGGGCAACCGAAAAUGGGAGCACCAAAAACAGAGGUGUUUUGAAAGCAGUGACUGCCGUAAGGGAAGAGUUCGGUUCGUUUCCUCUCUGGAGUGCUCUUCUAUUGACUCAGUCCUCAAGCAGUGGGAGGUGCUGGAAGGUUGUUUAAACACAAAGAAGAGAGGCAAGGUGAUCUCAAAUAAGAUACGAGUACUGUGGGUUGACCUAUUACUGAGAUGUUUACUGUACAGAAUUUUGUUUAACUUCAGUCCUUAAAGAAUAAAAUCGGCUCCUGAAGGCAUUUAAGAGACUGCAUCCAGACAGCAAGCUGCAGCCUGUGUCAGCACCACUUGAAGGGCCACUGGGGACUGUGCUGGAGCCCUGUUCAGGCAGAGGAAGCAACUGCCAUGGAUCUGCUGUCCCUGCUCAAUGCAAAGAAGUUGGACCAGAUGACCUUUAAAGAUCCCUUGCAACUCCAACUCUAAGAUUCUAUGAAAAUAAAUGGACUCCAGCAGCUCAAAGAGGUACCUGAAGUUAGCUGUGCCUGAGCCGUCUUCAGGAGGGCUGAGGAUGUGGUAGGAAGCAUAGCCUGAUCUGGCAGACCUCUUCUGUCUCUGGUGGUUGGCAACCCUGCACACAGCAGGGGGGUUGAAACUAGAUGAUGAUUAUGGCCAUUCUAUGUUAUGAUAUAAAAGCUCCAUUCCUGUAGUAGUGUAAAAAGUGAUGAAUUUAUUGCUCUGUUCAUUAGUAUACGGAUUGAGGAAAGGAAGGGAGGGCAGGUAGCAAGUCUGGUUGGGUGCUUGCCACGAGCCUGGGUGAGGACUGCAGUCUUGGAGGCAGCAGGAGGAAGACACAGAUGAAAGC
rnacentral:lncRNA from 7 species